rnacentral:rRNA from 1 species
UUUUCCGGUUGAUCCUGCCGGACCUGACUGCUAUCGGAUUGAUACUAAGCCAUGCGAGUCAUUGUAGCAAUACAAGGCAGACGGCUCAGUAACGCGUAGUCAAUCUACCCUAUGGACGGGAAUAACCUCGGGAAACUGAGAAUAAUGCCCGAUAGAACAUUAUGCCUGGAAUGGUUUAUGUUUCAAAUGAUUUAUCGCCAUAGGAUGGGACUGCGGCCUAUCAGUUUGUUGGUGAGGUAAUGGCCCACCAAGACUAUUACAGGUACGGGCUCUGAGAGGAGUAGCCCGGAGAUGGGUACUGAGACACGGACCCAGGCCCUAUGGGGCGCAGCAGGCGAGAAAACUUUGCAAUGUGCGAAAGCACGACAAGGUUAAUCCGAGUGGUUUCUGCUAAAGAAACCUUUUGUCAGUCCUAGAAACACUAACGAAUAAGGGGUGGGCAAGUUCUGGUGUCAGCCGCCGCGGUAAAACCAGCACCUCAAGUGGUCAGGAUGAUUAUUGGGCCUAAAGCAUCCGUAGCUCGUUUUGUAAGUUUUCGGUUAAAUCCAUGCGCUUAACGUAUGGGCUGCCGGGAAUACUGCAUAACUAGGAAGUGGGAGAGGUAGACGGUACUCGGUAGGAAGGGGUAAAAUCCUUUGAUCUAUUGAUGACCACCUGUGGCGAAAGCGGUCUACCAGAACACGUUCGACGGUGAGGGAUGAAAGCUGGGGGAGCAAACCGGAUUAGAUACCCGGGUAGUCCCAGCUGUAAACUAUGCAAACUCAGUGAUGCAUUGGCUUAUGGGCCAAUGCAGUGCUGCAGGGAAGCCGUUAAGUUUGCCGCCUGGGAAGUACGUACGCAAGUAUGAAACUUAAAGGAUUGGCGGGGGAGCAC